AUUGAACGCUAACGGCGUGCUUAACACAUGCAAGUCGAGCGGCAGCAUGAUCUGUAGCAAUACAGAUUGAUGGCGAGCGGCGGACGGGUGAGUAAUGCAUAGGAAUCUGCCUUGUAGUGGGGGAUAACCCGGGGAAACUCGGGCUAAUACCGCAUAAUCUCUACGGAGCAAAGUGGGGGAUCGUAAGACCUCACGCUAAAAGAUGAGCCUAUGUUGGAUUAGCCAGUUGGUGAGGUAAUGGCUCACCAAGGCGACGAUCCAUAGCUGGUCUGAGAGGAUGAUCAGCCACACUGGGACUGAGACACGGCCCAGACUCCUACGGGAGGCAGCAGUGGGGAAUAUUGGACAAUGGGCGAAAGCCUGAUCCAGCAACGCCGUGUGUGUGAAGAAGGCCUUCGGGUUGUAAAGCACUUUUAGUUGGGAAGAAAAGCUCAUGGGUAAUAUCCAUGAGUGCUGACGUUACCAACAGAAAAAGCACUGGCUAACUCUGUGCCAGCAGCCGCAGUAA
rnacentral:rRNA from 1 species